AGCAGCCGCGGUAAUUCCAGCUCCAAUAGCGUAUAUUAAAGUUGUUGCAGUUAAAAAGCUCGUAGUUGAAUUUCGGGAUCAAAUUGUUGGUCGUGCCUCGGUACGCACUGGUAUUAUUGGUUCCUACCUUCUGAAGAACCGCGAUGUCAUUAAUUUGGUGUCGUGGGGAAUCAGGACUGUUACUUUGAAAAAAUUAGAGUGUUUAAAGCAGGCUUACGCUUGAAUACAUUAGCAUGGAAUAAUGAAAUAGGACGUUUGAUUCUAUUUUGUUGGUUUCUAGGAUUGACGUAAUGAUUAAUAGGGAUAGUUGGGGGCAUUAGUAUUCAAUUGUCAGAGGUGAAAUUCUUGGAUUUAUUGAAGACUAACUACUGCGAAAGCAUUUGCCAAGGAUGUUUUCAUUAAUCAAGAACGAAAGUUAGGGGAUCGAAGACGAUCAGAUACCGUCGUAGUCUUAACCAUAAACUAUGCCGACUAGGGAUCGGAUGAUGUUAAUUUUUAAUGAUUCAUUCGGCGCCUUACG
rnacentral:rRNA from 1 species